UUUUUUUUUUUUUUUUUUUUUUUGAGACAGAGUCUCCCUCUGUCACCCAGGCUGGAGUGCAGUGGUACAAUCUUAGCUCAUUGCAACCUCUGCCACCAGGGUUCAAGCAAUUCUCUUGCCUCAGCCUCCUGAGUAGCUGGGACUACAGGUGCUGACCACCAUGCCAAGCUAAUUUUUGUAUUUUUAGUACAGACAGGGUUUCACCAUGUUGGCCAGGCUGGUCUCAAACUCCUGAUCUCAAGUGAUCUGCCCACCUUGGCCUCCCAAAGUGCUGGGAUUACAGGUGUGAACAGGUGUGAGCCACUGCGCCCAGCCGAGACCAGUUGCCUCAAUUGUCAGUUUCCUCCUCUCUCCCCUUCUCAGGUCUAUCAUGGCAGAAUUUGUCCCAGAACAUAAAACUACAGAACACCCCAGUUUCGGUGUGAGAAAAGAGCCUAGGCAUCUCCUAAUUUAAUGGGCUUCAAAUGGUUUGGCUCAGUUGUCCUAAGCAAUAAAAAUAAUUUGAGUAUGUAACCUCAAUUGAUGUAUAUUUAUUCAUUUAUAAAUGACAUACUUCUGUACCAACAUACUUUAAGACAUAUACAAAAAUUAUAUUUAAAAAGAAAAAUAAAUAAAAUGAUAAUAUUUUCUCCUGUGCCUUAAUGGAUUAGCUUUGUUCCUUUUGGGAUAUGUGAAUCUGUUUUGGAGACAACUUACCUAAUUCAGCCUGAUCUGCUAAUCUCCUCUGUAACUCCCCACCAAGAGGAAAUUCAACCUUUUCAUGAACACUUGGAGGGACACCCAAUCCAUUUUUGGAAACAUCUAGGCGUUUCUUGAUUACCAUGCUCUGGAUGGCCAAAUCGGGGGGUUUUCAUGCAGUAUCACACCUGGACUUCGAGCCACAAGUGAACACUUCUCUGGGCGCCUCACUUCUGGCUCUCCCUGGAUCUCACUGCAACCUGAGUGCCAGAGCUGUGAAGACUGCAGCAAAGUCCUCCAACUGCCACGAAAGCCUCUCCUAAUUCACCAGUUCCAGAAGGCUGCCUGCUUCCCUGGCCACAGGGGUAGGCUUGGCUGUUACCUUCCCAAAUGGAAAAUGAGGGUGUAGAUUUCAUUGCCCAUUACUGCCCACUUCUCCUGAUCUACCUUUGAUGAUACCAGAGUGGAUUACAUUAUUUGGACUGUAUGCUAUCCUGGGCUAUUCCGAGGACAACACUUGAAACGGGAAAGAAUGAUGUGCCUGGGCCCACCAGAGAUUAUGGGAAACCUUGAUGCUGUUUAUCACCUUGAUUCAAAUUUCAUGUUCACAGCCUGAGUCUACAAAGAAGAGAAACAGAAGAGGGAAGCCUGGUGUAAAACUCUUUCAUUCCAUUCUUGUCUGUCUUUAUCUGCUCCA